GCCUUUGACAAUUUUUGACAAUCAAAUAUUUUUUUUAUAUUGUACCAAUGUAAAAUGUUUAAUGACUUUUAAAGGGAUGUACGUUACCAUUUCUAGUCAAGGUUGUUUGCUAAUGCUAUUUGAUUAAUUGUUUAAUUCAUUUUUAAAAGGUGCCUGUUUGAUUUUUUUAUUUUCUUGACACUUUAAAAUUGGACUUUUUGCUGAUUUUUUCCUUUUUGUGUAAAUCUGUUAUUGCAUUGAAGGUUUUGAAGUCAAGUUCUAGUCAAAGAUAACUUGUAAUUGCAUUUGAAGUUAAAGAUAAUCACACCUUGUUAGUAAGAAAUUAUUUUUGUGUGUGUGUUUUAUUAUGAUUAUGAGUUGUAUCAUAUUUUGAAAUUGAGUCCUAUACUGUAAAAUUGUACUUUUUGUGUUGCAGUGACGUUACUUUUAUAAGCAGGGGAGUAUGUGAGCAAGUCACUUAUGAUUCCGGAAUUUAUUCAUGUGUAACCGGUAAUUUUCUAUUUUUAUUGUAACCGGAACCACCGUUUUGAUGACGUAUUAAUAUG
rnacentral:lncRNA from 1 species